CAGAGGGUGCGAGCGUUGUCCGGAAUCACUGGGCGUAAAGGGCGCGUAGGCGGCUUGGUAAGUAGGGGGUGAAAUCUCACGGCUCAACUGUGAGGCUGCCUUCUAGACUGCCGGGCUCGAGCACAGUAGAGGCAGGUGGAAUUCCCGGUGUAGCGGUGGAAUGCGUAGAGAUCGGGAAGAACAUCGGUGGCGAAGGCGGCCUGCUGGGCUGUUGCUGACGCUGAGGCGCGACAGCGUGGGGAGCAAACAGGAUUAGAUACCCUGGUAGUCCACGCCGUAAACGAUGGGUACUAGGCGUCGGGGGGAGCGACCCCUCCGGUGCCGUCGCUAACGCAAUAAGUACCCCGCCUGGGGAGUACGGCCGCAAGGCUG
rnacentral:rRNA from 1 species